AUUGAACGCUGGCGGCAUGCCUUACACAUGCAAGUCGAACGGCAGCACGGGGCAACCUGGUGGCGAGUGGCGAACGGGUGAGUAAUGCAUCGGAACGUACCUUUCAGUGGGGGAUAACGUAGCGAAAGUUACGCUAAUACCGCAUAUUCUGUGAGCAGGAAAGCAGGGGAUCGCAAGACCUUGCGCUGAUUGAGCGGCCGAUGUCAGAUUAGCUAGUUGGUGGGGGAAAGGCUCACCAAGGCGACGAUCUGUAGCGGGUCUGAGAGGAUGAUCCGCCACACUGGAACUGAGACACGGUCCAGACUCCUACGGGAGGCAGCAGUGGGGAAUUUUGGACAAUGGGGGCAACCCUGAUCCAGCCAUGCCGCGUGAGUGAAGAAGGCCUUCGGGUUGUAAAGCUCUUUCGGCCGGGAAGAAAUCGCACGGGCUAAUACCCUGUGUGGAUGACGGUACCGGAAUAAGAAGCACCGGCUAACUACGUGCCAGCCGCCGCAGUAACAC
rnacentral:rRNA from 1 species